rnacentral:precursor_RNA from 1 species
CAUAUAAAUUGUCCGCGACACUCAUUGAAUUACUACGGGUAUCGCGGCAAAUUAUUUGGAA